rnacentral:lncRNA from 1 species
ACCACUGUUCCUGAAACCUGGUCAGAGCGGAAGUAAGGACUGGUGUCAGGAGGGAGCUGCUAGGUGGCAAAGGGAAGAGCCCUCAGGAUAGGUCUGUUCUAUCUGUGAAGCCUGUCCUCAAGGAUGGACAGUUCUCACGCUACAAGGUCCUGUGUGCUCAUCUUUUUUGUGGCCCUACUCUGUGCAGAAAGAGCUCAGGGGCUGGAGUGCUACCACUGCCCAGAUGACCCACGAGAGUCUUCCUGCAAUACCACAACCUGCCCCUUCCCUGAUGGAUUCUGUGUUACUCAGGAGGCAGAAAUUAUUGUGGACUCUCAAAGAAGGAAAGUAAAGAGCCAUCAGUGCCUUUCUUACUGCCCUACUGAUCUUGAAAAUAGCCCGAUCAAGGAUCCUAAGGUCAAGGUGAAGAUUUCCUGUUGCCAGGAAGACCUCUGCAAUGCAGCAGUUCCCACUGAAGGCAGCACCUGGACCAUGGCAGGGGUGCUUCUGUUCAGCCUGAGCUCAGUCCUCCUGCAGACCUUGCUGUGAUGGUCCUUCCAACAACCCUCACCCUUGUCCUUUUAUCCUCAUGUGCAACCACUCUUUCCUGGAGUCCUCUAGUGAUGAAUUAUGAGUUAUAGAAGCUCCAAGGUGGGAGUACUGUGUGGAACACCCUGUUUUACCUUUAUAGCCCCUGCUGGGUAGGUGCCCCACUCCUCUCUAAGGCUUUCAGAUCUGUACUUCCUGGAAUGUUAUUUUGUUGUGGCUUGCAAUUCCUGGCCCUGGAGGCAUGUGGCCAGCACAGGCAUGAGCCAGUAUUCCAAGGUGUUAUGCCAUCACCAUCCACACAUAAGUAUCUGGAGUCCUGCAGGGUUCCGAUGUGUGCUGGUCAAUGUCCCCCUUUUGAGUCCAAUAAACCCUUUAUUCUCCCA